GAUGAACGCUAGCGGCAGGCUUAACACAUGCAAGUCGAGGGGUAACAGGGAAGCUUGCUUCCGCUGACGACCGGCGCACGGGUGCGUAACACGUAUGGAAUCUGCCCUUUACUGGGGAAUAGCCCGGAGAAAUCCGGAUUAAUGCCCCAUACUAGACGAGAUGGCAUCAUCUUGUCUUGAAAGCUCCGGCGGUAAAGGAUGACCAUGCGCACGAUUAGUUUGUUGGUGAGGUAACGGCUCACCAAGACUACGAUCGUUAGGGGGCCUGAGAGGGUUAUCCCCCACACUGGUACUGAGACACGGACCAGACUCCUACGGGAGGCAGCAGUGAGGAAUAUUGCGCAAUGGAGGCAACUCUGACGCAGCCAUGCCGCGUGCAGGAAGAAGGCGCUACGCGUUGUAAACUGCUUUUUAAUCGGGAAGAAACCCCGGGACGUGUCCCGGGUUGACGGUACCGAUGGAAUAAGCACCGGCUAACUUCGUGCCAGCAGCCGCGGUAAAGUGU
rnacentral:rRNA from 1 species